GACGAACGCUGGCGGCGCGCCUAACACAUGCAAGUCGAACGGAGCUUGCCUGUCUGAUCCUUUCGGGGUGACGACUUGUAAGCUUAGUGGCGAACGGGUGAGUAACACGUGAGUAACCUGCCCCAGAGUGGGGGACAACAGUUGGAAACGACUGCUAAUACCGCAUAAGCCCACAGAACCGCAUGGUUCUGGGGGAAAAGGAGCAAUUCGCUUUGGGAUGGACUCGCGUCCGAUUAGCUGGUUGGUGAGGUAACGGCCCACCAAGGCAACGAUCGGUAGCCGGACUGAGAGGUUGAACGGCCACAUUGGGACUGAGACACGGCCCAG
rnacentral:rRNA from 1 species